UGCUGUGCUUCGUGUUAAACAUGUCAUGAGACUGUGGACAACGCUGAAAAUAUUACUUUACUAACUACUGGCCGAACAGGCGCUUUUACAAAGAAAAGGUAAAGGCCAGCAGCUUUUACUUUUCAAUGCACUUGUCGUCAACUUGAGUGGCUUAUAUUCAGCUGGUUCACCUCGACGCCGGUGGAUGUAGACGUGCACUUUUCCUGUCGCCGUACACUGUGUAACAUGAAAAUAUCAGCUGACCCCUUGUGAAAUUUCCUAACUGAUCAAAACCAAACUGUAAAGACUUUGGUCAAGGGGAGACAUAUGGUAAGAUUACAUGAAUUCAAAAUAACCUACAAUUCCUUCAAAUUAAUUUGAAGCCAGUUUAAUUUUUUGAGCCAGCUUUGACAUCUGCAGAUAUGAGUUUCUGAAGAGGGGCCUGCUGAGGUUAGAUGUGCUGAAUAAUAUCCAUUUUCAUAUCAGAAAAAACACUGCAUUAAACAUUGUCUUAGCUCACUGAGCUGAGGUCAACAGGUAAUAUAACCAACCUGUGAGGUGGCUCACCCCCGUAAGAUAAACACAUAAAUGAUCCCUGAUAGAACCGAUAAUUAAAGGCACAUCAGUGACAGGGAAUGCUAUUAAAACUAAACUAUAAACUGGUGACAUUAACUGCAAAAGAAGAUUUUUAUUGAUACAUUUCAGGUAGAAUUUAGUUUUCAAUAAGGGAAACUGUGUAAGAAACCUGAAUUUGUUGCAACAAAUUUAAAAUAAAAGCUUUUAUGCUAAUUAUUUUCUGUGAUAAUAUUUUUCAGAGCUCAUCAUCUGUGACAGCUCAUGGCUCUCUUGACUGUAACCUCCCUGUGGCAGCUUCUCACAGACUCAAUCAACUCCUCUUCCCCUCCCCCCUCAGACACACACAGACACACACACACAGAGACCCCCUUCCAAAAACCCAUCAAAGAGUAAUACAAUGGCUCCAUCUGUAGGAUAAAGUAGAGAGUCGCAACAGGAAGUUACCCCAAAAUCUGAGGUUUCAAACAGGAAGUUGGGUUUCUGAACUUUGACGGGCCAGAACAGGCACACGCUUCGACCAAAACUCACAAUUUUCGGAGGACUUCUUCCAAAAAUUGUCAAGGAGGGGCUGACAACAUUUGAAGUGAAUCUGGUCACCCGUCUAGAAACUGGACAUCACACUAUAAAAUAUGUCAUUUCCUGCUAUAAAUAGGUGGUGCUACAACAAUUGUAUGAAUAUUGACAUAUGGAUGUGUGCAGAUAGGUACCAUUAACAAUCCUGUAAAGUUUGAUGCAGUUUGGACAAAGUAUGGCCGAAAUAUAGCAAAAAUAAAGCAACUUCCUGUUUCGUGGCGAGUAAUCGAACUUUGAGGGGCCAUAACUUCCACGCCCUUCAACAAAAACUCAAAAUCUGCCGCAAUUUAACAUCGUCUAUGUCUUAAGAACAUACUAUUAAGUUUUGAAGUCAAUCGGAUAAUGCGUCUAGGACUAGUUCGCGUUCAAGCGACCCCUGGAAAUGGCCAAAAACACACAAUUUUUUCACCUUCCGGUCAAAAUAAAAAUACUUUCUGUUGGGUUUAGAAUAUGGCUCCAAGAGACUUUUUGGUGCGUCAUGGGAUGUUACAUAUGUGUGCAGAUUUUCAGAUUUUUAGGCGCAACGGGCUUGAGGGGCUGUUCCGUUUAAAAAUGUAGGUGGCGCUACCGAGGCCAUUUUACCACGCCCAUGCUCAAGACCCCUAAAUUAUUAAAUUUUUCGCCGUGCCUGACGCGUCUGCAAAUUUUGGUAAGUUUUCACGCAUGUUAAGGCCCUCAAAAAGCCGAUCUAAGAGGCGGAAAAAGAAGAAAAAAAAUAAUAAUAAUAAUAAUUAAAGCUGCGAGCAGCGUUGAACGGGCCCUCGCACCCGGCGCCCGUCGGGGGAGCGGCGACCGCGGGACCCCGGCAACCGCGGGGUCAACGCAGGUCGCAGGGCACACGCUGGCGUAACAGUUCACACUUCCGAGAUGUAAAAAUUUUAAAUAAAAGCUUUUACGCUAAUUAUUUUCUGUGAUAAUAUUUUUCAGAGCUCAUCAUCUGUGACAGCUCUUGGCUCUCCUGACUGUAACCUCUCUGUGGCAGCUUCUCACAGACUCAAUCAACUCCUCUUCCCCUCCCCCCUCAAACACAAACACAAACACAAACACACACACACACACACAGAUACCCCCUCCCAAAAGGAGAUAAAACUCAGUUUUAACUUGAGUUUACAAGCUUUGAGCUUUGAGCAAAAGCAUUUUUUUAAGUUCUGUUAUUGGGUGCAUAUAUAAAUCAUUUAUGCUUAAACAAGGCUUAUAAUGAAGUUAUUUGAACAGUGAAUAUCUCAUCUGCCUAAAGUCAGGGCGAAGCCACUAACCAGCUGUAGGGAUGGGUAUCAUUAGGAUUUUAUCUUUAUCCAUACAGACCCCUAUCAGUCCAGCUCAGACUGUUACUGGUUUAAGAGAGUGAAGUUUAUAGCAAUUUGCAAAAUUUGGAGAUUAGUGACAAACUAACCAGUUAGACUACAUACAGACAAGCUUUCAUUUUAGCUGUUAGUAACAGUUUGCCAUGAGCUUAACCAGCGUGCUGUGCUUCGUGUUAAACAUGUCAUGAGACUGUGGACAACGCUGAAAAUAUUACUUUACUAACUACUGGCCGAACAGGCGCUUUUACAAAGAAAAGGUAAAGGCCAGCAGCUUUUACUUUUCAAUGCACUUGUCGUCAACUUGAGUGGCUUAUAUUCAGCUGGUUCACCUCGACGCCGGUGGAUGUAGACGUGCACUUUUCCUGUCGCCGUACACUGUGUAACAUGAAAAUAUCAGCUGACCCCUUGUGAAAUUUCCUAACUGAUCAAAACCAAACUGUAAAGACUUUGGUCAAGGGGAGACAUAUGGUAAGAUUACAUGAAUUCAAAAUAACCUACAAUUCCUUCAAAUUAAUUUGAAGCCAGUUUAAUUUUUUGAGCCAGCUUUGACAUCUGCAGAUAUGAGUUUCUGAAGAGGGGCCUGCUGAGGUUAGAUGUGCUGAAUAAUAUCCAUUUUCAUAUCAGAAAAAACACUGCAUUAAACAUUGUCUUAGCUCACUGAGCUGAGGUCAACAGGUAAUAUAACCAACCUGUGAGGUGGCUCACCCCCGUAAGAUAAACACAUAAAUGAUCCCUGAUAGAACCGAUAAUUAAAGGCACAUCAGUGACAGGGAAUGCUAUUAAAACUAAACUAUAAACUGGUGACAUUAACUGCAAAAGAAGAUUUUUAUUGAUACAUUUCAGGUAGAAUUUAGUUUUCAAUAAGGAAAAUGCUGUAAGAAACCUGAAUUUGUUGCAACAAAUUUAAAAUAAAAGCUUUUAUGCUAAUUA